GCGACAGGCCUAACACAUGCAAGUCAGGGGCAGCACAAGGAGCAAUCUGAGGUGGCGACCGGCGCACGGGUGAGUAACACGUAUGCAACCUGCCUGUAAGCGGGGAAUAACCCGUUGAAAGACGGACUAAUACCGCAUAAUACUAAAUUACUGCAUGGUAAUUUAUUUAAACAUUUAUGGCUUACAGAUGGGCAUGCGCAUGAUUAGCUAGUUGGAGAGGUAACGGCUCCCCAAGGCAACGAUCAUUAGGGGUUCUGAGAGGAAGGUCCCCCACACUGGUACUGAGACACGGACCAGACUCCUACGGGAGGCAGCAGUGAGGAAUAUUGGUCAAUGGACGAGAGUCUGAACCAGCCAAGUCGCGUGCAGGAAGAAUGUCCUAUUGGAUUGUAAACUGCUUUUGCAGGGGAAUAAAGUGCAUCACGUGUGAUGUUUUGUAUGUACUCUGCGAAUAAGGAUCGGCUAACUCCGUGCCAGCAGCUGC
rnacentral:rRNA from 1 species